rnacentral:lncRNA from 1 species
AGAAGGGUGACCAAAAUCCGAAGGACUAAAUUGGGAGAUCAAAGGUGGAUUUGCCCCAUUUGUACAAACCAUUCACUCUUGCAAGAACUUUAGAAGAAACCUAACAAGUCCCAGAGGCAAAACACAGGUAAGAAUUAAUCUGUUCUCUUGUCUAAAACUGCAUGGCUGAGAUUCUUUAUGGCUAUCAUCAAUGAAGUUAUUAUUCUAGUUCAAAAAUUUACUUAAGAAAAAUUAUCAGAAUUGAAAAUGUACAGACUAUUUUUCUUGCUGUUAUAGUCCAGCUGUA